rnacentral:rRNA from 1 species
CCUACGGGAGGCAGCAGUGAGGAAUAUUGGUCAAUGGGCUUACGCCUGAACCAGCCAAGUCGCGUGAGGGAAGACUGCCCUAUGGGUUGUAAACCUCUUUUGUCAGGGAGCAACGCCGGCUACGUGUAGCCGGACUGAGAGUACCUGAAGAAACAGCAACGGCUAACUCCGUGCAUGCAGCCGCGGUAAUACGGAGGUAGCGAGCGUUCUUCGGAUGUAUUGGGUUUAAAGGAUGCGUAGGCGGAAUGCCAAGUCAGCGGUAAAGUCGCGGGGCUCAACCUCACUGCGCCGUUGAAACUGGCGUUCUUGAGUGGGCAAGAGGUAUGCGGAAUUCGUGGUGUAGCGGUGAAAUGCAUAGAUAUCUCGCGGAACACCAGUUGCGAAGGCGACUUUCCGGCGCCCAACUGACGCUGAGGCACGAAAGCGUGGGUAUCGAACAGGAUUAGAUACCCUAGUAGUC